GACGAACGCUGGCGGCGUGCUUAACACAUGCAAGUCGAACGAAGUGGCGGACGGGUGAGUAACGCGUAAUCAACCUGCCCUUCAGAGGGGGACAACAGGUGGAAACGACUGCUAAUACCGCAUACUGAAGGUGGGGAUUGCGUCUGAUUAUGUAGUUGGAGGGGUAACGGCCCACCAAGGCGAUGAUCAGUAGCCGGGCUGAGAGGAGGAACGGCCAAAUUGGGACUGAGAACCGGCCCAGACUCCUACGGGAGGCAGCAGUGGGGAAUCUUCCGCAAUGGACGAAAGGCUGACGGAGCAACGCCGGGUGAGUGAUGACGGCCUUCGGGUUGUAAAGCUCUGUUAAUCGGGACGCGGUACCUGAAUAGAAAGCCACGGCUAACUACGUGCCAGCCGCCGCGGUAAUAC
rnacentral:rRNA from 1 species